CCUGGUGGCUCAGAUGGUAAAGCAUCUGCCUAUAAUGCAGGAGACCCAGGUUCGAUCCCUGGGUCAGGA
rnacentral:tRNA from 1 species